ensembl:snRNA U4 U4 spliceosomal RNA
AGCUUUGCGCAGUGGCAGUAUCGUAGCCAAUGAGGUUUAUCCGAGGCGCGAUUAUUGCUAAUUGAAAAAAGAUAUUCAAUAAAUAUUUACUGGCUCAGUGGAUGAUGAAAAGAUGCCCCUUGUGGAG